rnacentral:rRNA from 1 species
GAAAACUGGGGAAACUUUGAGUGCAGAAGAGGAGAGUGGAAUUCCACGUGUAGCGGUGAAAUGCGUAGAGAUGUGGAGGAACACCAGUGGCGAAGGCGACUCUCUGGUCUGUAACUGACGCUGAGGAGCGAAAGCGUGGGGAGCGAACAGGAUUAGAUACCCUGGUAGUCCACGCCGUAAACGAUGAGUGCUAAGUGUUAGGGGGUUUCCGCCCCUUAGUGCUGCAGCUAACGCAUUAAGCACUCCGCCUGGGGAGUACGGUCGCAAGACUGAAACUCAAAGGAAUUGACGGGGGCCCGCACAAGCGGUGGAGCAUGUGGUUUAAUUCGAAGCAACGCGAAGAACCUUACCAGGUCUUGACAUCCUCUGACAAUCCUAGAGAUAGGACGUCCCCUUCGGGGGCAGAGUGACAGGUGGUGCAUGGUUGUCGUCAGCUCGUGUCGUGAGAUGUUGGGUUAAGUCCCGCAACGAGCGCAACCCUUGAUCUUAGUUGCCAGCAUUCAGUUGGGCACUCUAAGGUGACUGCCGGUGACAAACCGGAGGAAGGUGGGGA